rnacentral:misc_RNA from 1 species
UGUAGGAGCGAGCCUGCUCGCGAAGGCGUGUCAGUUGACACCAACGUAGCGGAUACACCAUCGCGAGCAGGCUCGCUCCUACA